rnacentral:rRNA from 2 species
UACAUGCAAGUCGAGCGAACUGAUUAGAAGCUUGCUUCUAUGACGUUAGCGGCGGACGGGUGAGUAACACGUGGGCAACCUGCCUGUAAGACUGGGAUAACUUCGGGAAACCGAAGCUAAUACCGGAUAGGAUCUUCUCCUUCAUGGGAGAUGAUUGAAAGAUGGUUUCGGCUAUCACUUACAGAUGGGCCCGCGGUGCAUUAGCUAGUUGGUGAGGUAACGGCUCACCAAGGCAACGAUGCAUAGCCGACCUGAGAGGGUGAUCGGCCACACUGGGACUGAGACACGGCCCAGACUCCUACGGGAGGCAGCAGUAGGGAAUCUUCCGCAAUGGACGAAAGUCUGACGGAGCAACGCCGCGUGAGUGAUGAAGGCUUUCGGGUCGUAAAACUCUGUUGUUAGGGAAGAACAAGUACGAGAGUAACUGCUUGUACCUUGACGGUACCUAACCAGAAAGCCACGGCUAACUACGUGCCAGCAGCCGCGGUAAUACGUAGGUGGCAAGCGUUAUCCGGAAUUAUUGGGCGUAAAGCGCGCGCAGGCGGUUUCUUAAGUCUGAUGUGAAAGCCCACGGCUCAACCGUGGAGGGUCAUUGGAAACUGGGGAACUUGAGUGCAGAAGAGAAAAGCGGAAUUCCACGUGUAGCGGUGAAAUGCGUAGAGAUGUGGAGGAACACCAGUGGCGAAGGCGGCUUUUUGGUCUGUAACUGACGCUGAGGCGCGAAAGCGUGGGGAGCAAACAGGAUUAGAUAC